rnacentral:rRNA from 1 species
UACGUAGGGGGCAAGCGUUGUCCGGAAUUAUUGGGCGUAAAGAGCGUGUAGGCGGUCCGGUAAGUCGGCUGUGAAAGCCCAGGGCUCAACCCUGGGAUGCCGGUCGAUACUGCCGGACUAGAGUUCGGAAGAGGCGAGUGGAAUUCCCGGUGUAGCGGUGAAAUGCGCAGAUAUCGGGAGGAACACCUAUGGCGAAGGCAGCUCGCUGGGACGUUACUGACGCUGAGACGCGAAAGCGUGGGGAGCGAACAGG